rnacentral:lncRNA from 1 species
GAAACAAUUCUAGUUCUUAUUGAAUUCUUCUCUCAUUCAAACAAAGAAUUUGGAAUUUUAAAUGAAUUGUGUAUCAAUUCUGUGCAUUUCCCAAACAAAAGAAUUCCAAUAUAUUGAAAUUCCAAUUCCUAGAAUUAUAAUUCUAUAGAAUUCCAAUUCCAAUUCCAAUUCUGUAGAACAAAACGCACCCUAAGAAAAAUAUCCCCAAAUUCAUGGAGCCCUUCAUUCAGAACAUGGAUAUGUACAUAUGUAUUAAAGCACGAAACCUAAAGCUUGGAAGAUGGUUUGCUGCUUUCCUCCCUUAGCUGCAGUUCGAGAUGAUCAUGUUCUUCCCUCCUGCCUUGAUGACUUCUUUUACCCCUUUCGUUGCUUUCAUUUCCUACCUCCAUUUUGUCAUUCAGUUCAUCAGGAUCGAGUAUUUGCAUAGGAAACAAUAUUGAAAUGGUUAUUCUGGGAAGAAACUCCUUAAAGCAACUAUUUGUAGUUUCCAAGGCUACUACAUCUUGCAAGAACCAAACAGAAUUUGAAUGCUAUGGUGACUGGAGCUUGCCUUACUAUUAACAAAACGAAUACGAACAGGAAUAACACACUCUUUCCAAUUUUUUUGGGUGCAAGUCAUUGAUAACAAUAUUGUAGCCAGUUAUGCAGAUUUAUCCAAAUAGCUGGUUGAAUAAAUAAGAAUUAUGGAUCCCAAAACCCCUUAAUCAUACCAUGCUUUUGCUCAUAGCAAUUAAACCAACCUUUUCUCUGGCUUUGCCUGGAGGAUGCUGCUUCUUCUGUGGUCCGGUUUCCACUUUAAGUGCAUAUGCUGGACAGUAUAACUCUCCCUGUCCCACUUCAUCUGCUGAUGAAGAUUCAGAAUUCCUCUUGGCUUCUGUCAUUUCUAUCUUUGCUUUUCUUUUUCUGUAUUCCUUGCAUAAAAACUACCAUGAAAAAUGGUUGCACGAGAAAGUCUUAUUAUAACACUUGUUUCUGAAUUUCAAACGGUGCAAACAUUAGCAUGCGGACUCAUCCCUUGCUGACAGCACCUGUCCAUUUUUUUCUCUGCUGCAUGCUAUAUUGGAUUUUGUCUAUUAGGUCUUUUCUCUUCUCUUGGGUUCUUUUUGGCUCUAGAACCUUAUGGUGAGUACUGGUUAUUGCUAAAAAUAGAGAAAAUUUGAUAUGGUCCUGGCC